UUGACCUCGGAUCAGGUAGGGAUACCCGCUGAACUUAAGCAUAUCAAUAAGCGGAGGAAAAGAAACCAACAGGGAUUGCCUCAGUAACGGCGAGUGAAGCGGCAAGAGCUCAAAUUUGAAAAUCUGGCUCCUUCGGGGUCCGAGUUGUAAUUUGUAGAGGAUGCUUCGGGUGCGGCCCCCGUCUAAGUGCUCUGGAACGGGCCAUCGGAGAGGGUGAAAAUCCCGUCUGGGACGGGGUGUCCGCGUCCAUGUGAAGCUCCUUCGACGAGUCGAGUUGUUUGGGAAUGCAGCUCUAAAUGGGUGGUAAAUUUCAUCUAAAGCUAAAUACUGGCCGGAGACCGAUAGCGCACAAGUAGAGUGAUCGAAAGAUGAAAAGCACUUUGAAAAGAGAGUUAAACAGCACGUGAAAUUGUUGAAAGGGAAGCGCUUGCGACCAGACUCGCUUCCGGGGUUCAGCCGGCUUUCGGGCCGGUGUACUUCCCCGGGGGCGGGCCAGCGUCGGUUUGGGCGGCCGGUCAAAGGCCCCUGGAAUGUAACGCCCCUCGGGGCGCCUUAUAGCCAGGGGUGUCAUGCGGCCAGCCUGGACCGAGGAACGCGC
rnacentral:rRNA from 1 species